AAAGAAUUAAUAUGUUUUAAUGAUUAUGUUAUAAAAAUAAUGAAAGUAUUUGUCUUCUUAUAUUUAUAGAUAGUGACGAUCUCGGACAAGGCGUUAGAGGUAGUGGGAACAAUUUAGCUGACGUUGCCAGAGACGAUGGCCUAUUAUGUGGAACCUUGAAUAUAGGU